GGCCCUCCUCCAAGCUCACAGUGGAGAGUCAGCCUUAGCUGGGCUGAGCCAACAAUGACAAGUCACAGGGGAACAUCCUCACAGAAGUUUCAGGUGAAAGGAUCUUUUUAUUUUUCCAGAGGGCUUGGAGUGAGGUUCUAGGUUUCCCAGUGCCCGUGGUGACUGCAUCCCACAAUCUCCCUGGUCCAGCUGCAGGUCCAGAAGCUGAUGUGGUCUAAGGUGUGAGCCUACUCAGCCUCUCCUCACAUCCAUCCACACAUGGCAGGAGAUCAAGUUUCAGUAUUUCCAAAGGAGACCUCCCAGCCUGCUUGGAGCCACCUUCCUGAAGGCAAAGCCAUUACUCAGAGACCUGCUUUCCAUGGACAGCUUUUCUGCUCCCAGAUCUUUUGUUCAUAUGACAUGAAUGGAAUGGUCACAGAGUUAGUGUUACUCAGCAGCGAGGCCAGCAAGGUGUUGACUGCCCUGGAUUGCUACAGGAAAGUCUACAGGAAG